CUGGCUAUGACGGUAACUGACACUCAGUAGGUCUUCCCUCAAUAUUUGUUGAGUGAAUAGAUGAAAGUACAGUGGGGAAAGGAAGCAGGGCAUAAACACAAAAACGGAUAAUAAUAGAGGUGGUGUUAAUGACAUUGAGGCCAAAAUAGAAAAUUUGAUUCUAGUGGAUGGUUUAUCGCAUGAUACAUAUAAUGGGUUAUGAACUGGAAAUCAGAGGGUGUGAAUUUGCUUUUAUUAUAGUAGGAGAGAGGAGCUGAUGAGCAUUAGAAAAUAAUGAAAAUGAGUCAUUUUCUUACAAAAUAUUAUCUUUCAGAUAAUAUAGCAUCAUCAGAGUCUUUGGAUUUAGAGCCAAAAGAGCCUUAUAUGCCAUCUAAUUAAAUGUCUUAUUUCUAAUGUGUAUGGGGAGAUUUUCUGGAAAAUUACCUAUAUGUGACCUAAAGUUUUUGGAAAUGCCGUGUAAGAAGUUUUUCUUUUCAUGGGAACUGGAAGGGAUAAAAAUCUGAUUGCUUUUCUUCAGCAAAGCAUACCAGCGUCCCCAUUAGGCAAGUGAUUAUGCAGUGUUGAAAGGUAUUUUCUUGAGAAUGUUAUUUUUUUCCUUUUCAUUAAUUAUGCUUUGUCUAAAGGUUCUUUGUCAAAGCUCUGGCUAGUACUUGAAAUUGUAAUUGAUAGGGAAUAAAAGAAAGUAAAAUCUUUGAUCUCUCUCUCGGUGUUAUGCAAUAUCUUUAUUCUUGAGAUCAAAAGACUCCGAGUAUAAUGCUGACCAAACAGAGGCUACAGUACUGAUUUUGACAGAGACCAAGGACAACAGCUAUGAAAGUUAACGGCUAUAUAGGCAUGAAAUGACAAAAUCAAAACAAACAAAACUGUGAGAGUGCCUCUAUGCUAAACAUCCUUGCAUCCUUACAUAACAUAAACAGACACAUUAAAAUAAUAAAUUCAUAAAAUAGGUACACAAUAUUAUCCAUAAUAUGGAUCUAUGAUAGGUCCAUAAAUAAUAUUGUUCAGGAGAAGAGGUAUUGCUCUUCUAGGAGAAACUAUAGGACAAGCAUAUUUCCAGGAAGGCAUCAAAAUAAACAUUUAUUACAGAAAAUCCUGAAGGAAUAGCUUGUACCUAUUCUUACAGUUGAAGGCUUCUAGGGAAAACUGGUAUCUAGAACACAUAGAGUUCCUUAUUUCAUAAUAAAUGCAUCAUUUAUUAACAUUGCUCCAUUCCCUGUAUCACUUGACCCUAAGAGCAAUUAUGAAGUUAAUAAAGUUUAUCUUUGAUGUAAUGGACAUCCCUUUCUAUUCUCCCCAGAUUCUUUUUGUCUCAAGUAUUUAUUUCUCGUCAUAUGGCCUAAAGACAUUUCUCUUAUAAGGACUGUGCAUUGGUAAACUAACUCUCAGAAGACUUAAAGUGACAUCAUGCUUUGCCACUCUGGGAAUUAUUUGAAUUUAAAAUACCCUUAAAAAGAUAACAAGGCUUGGGCAUGAUGGUGGGUGCCUGUAAUCCCAGGUACUUGGGAGGCUGAGGUGGGAGAUUUGCUUGAACCCAGGAGGGGGAGGUUGCAGUGAGCUGAGAUGGAACGAUUACACUUCAGCCUGGAUGACAGAGAGACUCUGUCUCAAAAGCAAAGCAAAACAAAACAAAACAAAAGAAAAAGAGUAAGGCUUAACCUAAGAGGUCUGAAACCUAAGUAGGGAGAGUUAUCAUGGGGUAUUGUAACCAAUGGUGCUCUCAUUCAGUUAAGACCAUGAAGGUACAUAAAUAGACACAUCAUCGGUGGUAGUUUUGCUGUGUGAUUCCUAGCCACUCUCACAAAAGCUUCCCCUGUGUCUCCUGUUUAAAUUGAAAUUAGCAGUAUCUGGUACUUUUCUCUAGACGUAGUAGAAAUACUUAGAUGGCAGAGGAUUUCUACUUCCUUUCAGUAUUACAUUGAUUCCUGACAUCUUUCAGUCAGGGUUCUUUGAUUAAAGUUGAAUCAUCUAUCAUUUUAUUCUAUUUUUAAUUGCUUUGCUUUUUCUAAUAAAUAUAUAUUCCCCUCUUUUAAUGAUAUCAUGAACUUUGAAAAUGUUUCUUCCUUUGUCCUUCCAAAA
rnacentral:lncRNA from 1 species